GAAUGUUUCAAUGACUUAAUGGUUUGAGUUUUAUAAUUUACGAAACAUGUUAAGAUUUUUUUUCUUAGUAACUACUUAAUUUAAAGAUUAAUCAUUUUGACUUUUAAAGGGUAGCUAUUUCCUAAAUUUUCCUUAGCAAUUCUUGACAGUUUUCGUGCGUAAUUUUUUAAAAAGACUAGCUAGGCUUUGUGUUGAAUUUUAAAAAUAAUGAAUAUUCUAAAAUAACACACAAGUUGUUAAAAAAUAUAUUUAGUAAGAUCUUUUAAUUUAGGAAAUAAAACUUUCAAGAAAAUAUAAUUACACGGAAUUAGUAUUAAUGCUCUACUUAAGCUAUACAUUGUAUUAUUUAUCUUUUAAAUAGUAAUGAACAAAGUUUUAAUGAACAAAAUCAUCGGGUUACUGCAUACACGUGUUUUGGAGUUACAGGAACUCUUUUUCAAUGUAAAGUGGUGAGCUUUUGUAUGUAAAGACCCAAAACACGGGUAUGCAGUUGUCUGCUAUUUUUGUGCAUUAAAACGUUGUUCAUUACUAUUUACUUCCCUGCACAAAGGUAUUUAUUUCUUAUUUAUCUUUUAGUUUAAAGCAACUUUUUUUUGCAGCCUUUAAGAACAAAAUAAGAUGCCUUCUUUGCACUAAGAUUUUCAAGUAGGAGAGUGGAAUUGCAAGUCCUUUCUCAUCACAGAGCAAAAUGAGAAAAUAUCUACUGAAAAGAGGGAAGGACUCCUCUGGAAUUGAGACCGAGAUGAAGAGAAGGAACAAAUAUUUAUCCGAUAAAAUUCAGAAUCUGCGUUACAAUAAAGUUUAAUUGAAUAAAUUUGAUUUUAAGUGUU